UUAAGCUAUUGGGUUCAUACCCCACUUAUAAAGGUAAUAAUCCUUUUCUUUUUAAUUAAAAAAAUUUCCAAUAACAUUUUUUUUAUUAUAUUAAUUUCUGGGUCUUUAAUUACUAUUUCAGCUAACUCUUGACUAGGGGCAUGAAUAGGAUUAGAAAUUAAUUUACUUUCAUUUAUUCCCUUGAUAAAUGAAAUUAAAAAAAAUCUAAUAACUUCAGAAAGUAGAUUAAAAUAUUUUUUAAUUCAAGCCUUUGCUUCUUCAAUUUUAUUAUUUGCUAUUAUUUUAAUAAUAAUAUUUUUUAAUAGAAAUUGAAUAAUAAAUAAUAAUUUUAAUAAUUUAUUAAUUUUAUCAACAUUAUUAUUAAAAAGAGGAGCAGCCCCCUUUCAUUUUUGAUUUCCUGGAGUAAUAGAAGGGUUAUCUUGAAUUAAUGGAUUAAUCCUCAUAACUUGACAAAAAAUUGCCCCAUUAAUAUUAAUUUCUUAUAAUUUAAAUUAUAAUUUUUUUCUAUUUACUAUUUUAUUUUCUAUAAUUAUUGGAGCAUUUGGGGGAUUAAAUCAAACUUCCUUACGUAAAUUAAUAGCUUUUUCUUCUAUUAAUCAUUUAGGAUGAAUGCUUUUAGCUAUAAUAAAUAAUGAAUUAUUAUGAAUAACAUAUUUUAUUUUAUAUUCAAUUUUAUCAAUUUCAAUUAUUUUAAUAUUUAAUAAUUUUAAAUUAUUUCAUUUUAAUCAAAUUUUUAAUUUAUCUAUAAUAAAUCCUUACAUAAAAUUUUUUAUAUUUUUAAAUUUAUUAUCAUUAGGAGGAUUACCCCCCUUUUUAGGAUUUUUACCUAAAUGAUUAGUCAUUCAAAAUUUAGUAGAAAUAAAUCAAAUGUUUAUUUUAUUUAUUGCUGUUUGUUUAACAUUAGUAACUCUUUAUUAUUAUUUACGAAUAUCUUAUAGUAUUUACAUAUUAAAUUAUAAUAAAAAUUCUUGAUUAUUAAUUAAUCAACAUAAUAAUAAUAAUUUAACAUUAUUUUUACUAUAAAUUUUAUUUCUAUUAUAGGAUUAUUAAUAAUUUCAUUAAUUUUUAUAAUUUUAUAAUAAGAAUUUAAGUUAAAUAAACUAAUAGCCUUCAAAGCUGAAAAUAUUUGUAUUAAUCUUUUAAUUCUUAAACUUUAAUAAUUAAAAAAUUAUUCCUUUAGAAUUGCAGUCUAAUAUCAUUAUUGAAUAUAAAGUUUGAUUAAAAAGAAUAUUUCUUAUACAUAAAUUUACAAUUUAUUGCCUAAACUUCAGCCAUUUAAUCGCGACAAUGGUUAUUUUCAACAAAUCAUAAAGAUAUUGGGACAUUAUACUUUAUUUUUGGUAUUUGAUCCGGAAUAGUCGGAACUUCACUAAGAGUUUUAAUUCGUACUGAACUUAGACAUCCCGGUAUAUUUAUUGGAAAUGAUCAAAUUUAUAAUGUAAUUGUUACUGCUCAUGCUUUUAUUAUAAUUUUUUUUAUAGUAAUACCUAUCAUAAUUGGAGGAUUUGGAAACUGACUAGUACCCUUAAUACUAGGAGCCCCUGAUAUAGCUUUCCCUCGAAUAAAUAAUAUAAGUUUUUGAAUAUUACCCCCCUCUUUAACACUGCUGCUUUCUAGUUCUAUAGUAGAAAACGGAGCUGGAACAGGAUGAACGGUUUAUCCUCCUCUUUCUUCUGGAACAGCUCAUGCUGGAGCUUCAGUUGAUUUAGCAAUUUUUUCUUUACAUUUAGUGGGAAUCUCAUCUAUUUUAGGAGCAGUAAAUUUUAUUACAACUGUAAUUAAUAUACGAUCAGCUGGUAUUACUCUUGAUCGACUACCUUUAUUUGUAUGAUCAGUAGUAAUUACAGCUAUUUUAUUACUUCUUUCUCUACCCGUAUUAGCCGGAGCUAUUACUAUAUUAUUAACAGACCGAAAUUUAAAUACAUCUUUUUUUGAUCCAAUUGGAGGGGGAGACCCUAUUUUAUAUCAACAUUUAUUUUGAUUUUUUGGUCAUCCAGAAGUUUAUAUUUUAA